rnacentral:rRNA from 1 species
GCAAGUCGAACGGUARCAGGCCUUCGGGCGCUGACGAGUGGCGGACGGGUGAGUAACGCGUAGGAAUCUGCCUGRUAGUGGGGGACAACKURGGGAAACUYAMGCUAAUACCGCAUACGCUCCUUAUUGCAAGAUGGGGAGGAAAGCGGGGGCUCCUGUUCUUCGGAAUGGGACCUCGCGCUAUCAGAUGAGCCUGCGUUAGAUUAGCURGUUGGUGGGGUAAAGGCCUACCAAGGCGACGAUCUAUAGCUGGUCUGAGAGGACGAUCAGCCACACUGGGACUGAGACACGGCCCAGACUCCUACGGGAGGCAGCAGUGGGGAAUAUUGGACAAUGGGCGCAAGCCUGAUCCAGCAAUACCGCGUGUGUGAAGAAGGCCCUAGGGUUGUAAAGCACUUUCAAYGGGGAGGAAAACCUGCCGGYCAAUACCCGGCAGCUUGACAUUACCUGUAGAAGAAGCACCGGCUAACUCCGUGCCAGCAGCCGCGGUAAUACGGAGGGUGCGAGCGUUAAUCGGAAUUACUGGGCGUAAAGCGUGCGUAGGCGGUUSAUUAAGUCAGAUGUGAAAGCCCCGGGCUUAACCUGGGAACKGCAUUUGAUACUGGUUAACUMGAGUUUAGUAGAGGGGAGUGGAAUUUCAGGUGUAGCGGUGAAAUGCGUAGAUAUCUGAAGGAACACCAGUGGCGAAGGCGACUCCCUGGACUAAAACUGACGCUGAGGUACGAAAGCGUGGGUAGCAACAGGAUUAGAUACCCUGGUAGUCACGCCGUAA